CAGUCGCCGCGGGAAUACAGAGGGUGCGAGCGUUAAUCGGAUUUACUGGGCGUAAAGCGUGCGUAGGCGGUGAGUUAAGUCUGCUGUGAAAUCCCCGGGCUCAACCUGGGAAUGGCAGUGGAUACUGGCUCGCUAGAGUGUGGUAGAGGAUAGUGGAAUUUCCGGUGUAGCAGUGAAAUGCGUAGAGAUCGGAAGGAACAUCUGUGGCGAAGGCGACUAUCUGGGCCAACACUGACACUGAGGCACGAAAGCGUGGGGAGCAAACAGGAUUAGAUACCCCAGUAGUCCCUGUCUCUUAUAC
rnacentral:rRNA from 1 species